UUAAUUAUUCCACGUUCCAUAAUUAAAACGUUUUGCUAUUUUUUGCUGAAAUCUCUUUUUCUCUGAUAAAACAGUAUCAAAAACAAUAUGUUCUUUCAAUAUUUUUAAAAUAUCUGCAUAUUUUCGCCAACUUUAAGGGGACAGUAGUUCUGCUGGUUUAUAAUCAACGGGUAUAAUUUUCGUACACUAAGCGGACAUUUUGUUUACGCGAAAAUCUUUUAAUUUUUCGGUAUAUGUCUUUACGAUUUUUGGAGAGUAGGAUUGAUAAUUUUGAUACAAUAACCAGGCAGAACAUGAAGAUCGUUCGUUCUGUUUUUUGCAAUAUAAGCUCAAUAAACUGAAAAGGACCUCAAUUCACAACUCCGUACUAAAGAGGCUUUGUGUCGCAAUAGUAAAACUGUCGGGUUUGCCAAGAACUUUACCUACCACGUUUGCCGUUUUGUUCGCAAGUAACCUGGACGCCGUGAGGGGAUCGGGAUCUUCAUGAGUGCGUGAUUGCAGAAAUUUAGAUAAAAUAGAACAGUUGUGUUUGGAGAAGCGAUCCAAGUCUUUUGUGUCAGGUGUUAUCAAUUACCCAGUGAGUUGAAGUCGAGUCAUAAUAACUUGAAACAAGGUUUUCAACGUCACCGAAGAAUGCUGCUGGAAAUCAUCACUCAUCGGAUAAGAUGACAAUACAAACGAAGAUUGUGAAAAUUCAAUGAAUUCAAAUUUUUCUCGAAACAGAAGGAGAUACGAGAAGCGAGUGGUUGACGCCACUUUAUAUAGUGACUCUCCAACGAGAUGGCCUACGUUUCAGAACUUGGCAGACGGAAAUGCGGGUAGUGAUUCGGAGAACGCUGUGCCAGGAGUUUCAGAUUAGUCAACAGACUAUACCGCACCAUCUUCAGAAUCACUUUCAAUAAGCAAUGUAAGUGACUUAAAAGAAAAUCAUAUAUACGGAAAAGAAAAGGGCUGUAAAUCAAUUCCAAAAAAAGCUUCUAAAUAAACGUGAACCAGAAAAGAAACGACGAAAAGAAAAAUAAUUGCACGGCUUUGUAUAUCUUGCGAGAAGUUUAUUGUAAAGCUUUAAGACAUCUCUGUAUAAUUCAUAAAGAUGAACCGGCAGUGAGCACAUAAUUUUGUCUCUCCUCAACAACUUAAUCUAGUGGGCAUAUCCACAUUCGUAUACAUACUUGGCAUACAUUUUUACUAUUUAAUUAUAAAUUCAAAAUAACAAUCAUGUUUUUGUAUUCCGAGUUGGUGCAAAAAUUUUAAAUAAAUUGUGCAAAGAUUCUAAAUUGAUAUCGGGGUUGAAUAAUUUCAUGUUGAUCGCUUGUAUAGUUGACUGUAUAAUCACUGCUAUACUUAAGCGCGCCUUGAUAGGUAGACAUUUGAGUUAUAAUUGGUGUAAUGUUUCUCAUUUUAGUUGACAUGGCAAAAUUUCAUUUCGCAUUUAUAGGCCCCACUGAAAACGUCACUUAAUUGAACAUUUGAGAUAUGUUGUGUGUAAUGGUUCUCGAUAUUUUUUUAGAGAAUUUCGUGUUUUAAUUACAUACCUUCUGAAAUGGUCGGAUGGUUGAAAUUUUUUUUGAAUGCUUCCUAAUAUUAUUGUCAUUCCAAAAUAUCAUUUUGCAUUUACAUGACACACUUACGUAGCUGAGUAAAUGACGAUUUGCGAUAUAUUUUCUGUAUUGUUCCUCAAUAUGGUUUCAAAAUUUUGUUUUAAAAUAUUUGUCACUCUCAAGUUAUCGGAUAGGUGAACAUUUGAGAUAAAUUUUGAGCAAUUUUCCACAACAUCAAAAUAUGAUUAGUAUUCGAAAUUUCGUAUUUUAGUUAUAUUUCACACACUAAAGCGGUCGAAUAAGUUGACAUUUGAGAUAUAUUUUGUGUAAGAUUUCUCAAUAUGAUUUCAGGAAUUGGUUUCAAUAGUUGUAUGCUACACUUAGGUAGUCGGGUAUUCGGACAUUUGAGAUAUAUAUUUUGUGUAAUGUUCCUCAAUAUCAUUUCAGAAUUUUCAUUGUGAUCGUUUUAUGCCACACUUAGGUGGCCGGAUAGGUAGACAUUUGAGAUAUACUUUGUGUAA